UACGUAGGGUGCAAGCGUUAUCCGGAAUCACUGGGCGUAAAGCGUGCGUAGGCGGAAGUUUAAGUGCAAUGUUAAAUCGUGUGGCUCAACCAUAUCGAUGCAUUGCAUACUGGGCUUCUAGAGGACGGCAGAGGCAAGUGGAAUUGGUAGUGUAGCAGUGAAAUGCGUAGAUAUUACCAGGAACACCAAUGGCGAAGGCAGCUUGCUGGGCCGCCCCUGACGCUGAGGCACGAAAGCGUGGGUAGCGAACAGG
rnacentral:rRNA from 1 species